rnacentral:rRNA from 1 species
GCCUUCGGGUUGUAAAGCACUUUUGUCCGGAAAGAAAUCCUUCAGUUUAAUACGCUGAAGGGAUGACGGUACCGGAAGAAUAAGCACCGGCUAACUUCGUGCCAGCAGCCGCGGUAAUACGAAGGGUGCAAGCGUUACUCGGAAUUCCAGGGCGUAAAGCGUGCUUAGGUGGUUGGUUAAGUCUGAUGUGAAAUCCCCGGGCUCAACCUGGGAACUGCAUUUGUGACUGCAUAACUAGAGUACGGUAGAGGGGGAUGGAAUUCCCCGUGUAGCAGUGAAAUGCGUAAAUAUGCGGAGGAACACCGAUGGCGAAGGCAAUCCCCUGGACCUGUACUGACACUCAUGCACGAAAGCGUGGGGAGCAAACAUGAUUAGAUACCCUGGUAGA